rnacentral:ribozyme from 1 species
UGAAAAGUGAACAGAAAAAGAUAAGUGAACAGGAGAAGAAGAAUAGUGAAGAGGAGAAGAAGAAGAGUGAAGAGGAGAAGAAGAAAAUUGCAGAGAAGAUGAAGAAGGAGUUCUUUCAAGGAAUUGGUGUUUGGUAUGACUAUAGUUGCCUUCCUCAAACGAAAGGGAAGAAACAAAACCAAGCUUUGGAUGAAAUUGCGAAUGUCAUUGCCU